GCGGGAAGAACUAGGAGGUUUAGUAUUAGAUUGUGAUUCUAAAGUCCGUGGGUUCGAACCCCACUUUUCGCC
rnacentral:tRNA from 1 species